rnacentral:rRNA from 1 species
CCAAUCGAACUCGGAGAUAGCUGGUUCUCCUCGAAAUAGCUUUAGGGCUAGCGUCGUGUUAGUAGCACAUGGGGGUAGAGCUCUGUAAAGGACUGGGGCGGGCAACUGUACCCACCCUUAACAAACUACGAAUACCAUGUGUGUAAUCACGGCAGUUAGAACAUCGGUGCUAAGAUCGGUGCUCAAAAGGGAAACAGCCCAGACCAUCAUCUAAGGUCCCUAAAUUAACGUUCAGUGGGAAACAAGGUGAGAUUUCUUAAACAGCUAGGAUGUUGGCUUAGAAGCAGCCAUUCAUUUAAAGAGUGCGUAACAGCUCACUAGUCAAGAGAUUUUGCGUGGAAAAUGUAACGGGGCUAAAGUGUUAAACCGAAGACAUGGACUUCAUAUUUUAUGGAGUGGUAGAGGAGCGUUGAUAUCGCAGUGAAGUCAGAUUGUAAAGUCUGGUGGAGCGUUAUCAAGUGAGAAUGCUGGAAUCAGUAACCUUAAGACAGGUGAGAAUCCUGUCGGUCGUAAGAGCAAGGUUUCCAGGGCUACAGUAAUUGUCCCUGGGUUAGUCGGUCCUAAGCCGAGGCGCAUCAGCGUAGGCGAUGGACAACAGGUUAAUAUUCCUGUACAGGUAGUAGUUGUUAACAGUUCACGGUGAGUGACUAGAGCGGAUUAAUGGUUUAUCCGUCCAAGGCUUCAAGGAAUUGAAGUUGAGUGAAAGAUAUUCUUCGGAAUAUUGAUUCUGGGUACAACGCUGGCUAGAAAAGCUGAUUAACUUAUGCUGCUGCCUACCGUACCGCAAACCAACACCGGUGCUCGGGUCGAGUAGACCAAGACCUACGUGAGAACCUUCGCUAAGGAACUCGGCAAAAAAGCGUCCGUAACUUCGGAAUAAGGACUGCCCUCUCAUUAAGAUGAGGAUUUGCUAGAAACUUGGUGGAAACAUAAGGUUAAUAGUAUUUACCUAAUAAUUUAACCAAAUUUUUCGUCAAGACAGAACACAUCAGGAAAUAUCCUGUGAUAUCUUUUCUAGUAACUCAAUCGUCAUUUUGAUGAGAGGGUCGCAGCUAAAGAGCCCACGGAACUGUUUAACAAAAACAUAGGUCUCUGCUAACGCGAAAGCGGAUGUAUAGGGGCUGACUCCUGCCCGGUGUCGGAAGGUUAAGGGGAGAGCUUUACGGUUCGAACUGAAGCCCCGAUGAACGGCGGCGAUAACUAUGAUCGUCCUAAGGUAGCGAAAUUCCUUGUCUGGUAAGUUCAGACCCGCACGAAUGGAGUAAUCAUGUGGGCACUGUCUCGGCGAAGGCCACGGUGAACGUGCAUUGGCGGUAAAGAUGCCGUCUGAUCAUGCCAGGACGAGAAGACCCCAUGGAGCUUUACUACAACUUUGCAUUGAUUAUUGGGACAUUUUGUGUAGAAUAGGUGGAAGACUUUGAAGCAGAUACGCUAGUAUUUGUGGAGUCGAAAUGUGAAAUACCACCCUGAAUGUUUUAGUAAUCUCACUUUUGACCUUAUCGGCCAAGAGGACCGUGCAUGGCGGGUAGUUUAACUGGGGCGGUUGCCUCCUAAAGAGUAGCGGAGGCGUUCAAAGGU